AGUGAACGCUGGCGGUAGGCCUAACACAUGCAAGUCGAACGGCAGCACAGUAAGAGCUUGCUCUUAUGGGUGGCGAGUGGCGGACGGGUGAGGAAUACAUCGGAAUCUACUUUUUCGUGGGGGAUAACGUAGGGAAACUUACGCUAAUACCGCAUACGACCUACGGGUGAAAGCAGGGGAUCUUCGGACCUUGCGCGAUUGAAUGAGCCGAUGUCGGAUUAGCUAGUUGGCGGGGUAAAGGCCCACCAAGGCGACGAUCCGUAGCUGGUCUGAGAGGAUGAUCAGCCACACUGGAACUGAGACACGGUCCAGACUCCUACGGGAGGCAGCAGUGGGGAAUAUUGGACAAUGGGCGCAAGCCUGAUCCAGCCACACCGCGUGGGUGAAGAAGGCCUUCGGGUUGUAAAGCCCUUUUGUUGGGAAAGAAAAGCAGCAGGUUAAUACCCCGCUGUUCUGACGGUACCCAAAGAAUAAGCACCGGCUAACUUCGUG
rnacentral:rRNA from 1 species